rnacentral:rRNA from 1 species
GAUGAACGCUGGCGGCGUGCCUAAUACAUGCAAGUCGAGCGAACGGACGAGAAGCUUGCUUCUCUGAUGUUAGCGGCGGACGGGUGAGUAACACGUGGAUAACCUACCUAUAAGACUGGGAUAACUUCGGGAAACCGGAGCUAAUACCGGAUAAUAUUUUGAACCGCAUGGUUCAAAAGUGAAAGACGGUCUUGCUGUCACUUAUAGAUGGAUCCGCGCUGCAUUAGCUAGUUGGUAAGGUAACGGCUUACCAAGGCAACGAUGCAUAGCCGACCUGAGAGGGUGAUCGGCCACACUGGAACUGAGACGCGGUCCAGACUCCUACGGGAGGCAGCAGUAGGGAAUCUUCCGCAAUGGGCGAAAGCCUGACGGAGCAACGCCGCGUGAGUGAUGAAGGUCUUCGGAUCGUAAAACUCUGUUAUUAGGGAAGAACAUAUGUGUAAGUAACUGUGCACAUCUUGACGGUACCUAAUCAGAAAGCCACGGCUAACUACGUGCCAGCAGCCGCGGUAAUACGUAGGUGGCAAGCGUUAUCCGGAAUUAUUGGGCGUAAAGCGCGCGUAGGCGGUUUUUUAAGUCUGAUGUGAAAGCCCACGGCUCAACCGUGGAGGGUCAUUGGAAACUGGAAAACUUGAGUGCAGAAGAGGAAGGUGGAAUUCCAUGUGUAGCGGUGAAAUGCGCAGAGAUAUGGAGGAACACCAGUGGCGAAGGCGACUUUCUGGUCUGUAACUGACGCUGAUGUGCGAAAGCGUGGGGAUCAAACAGGAUUAGAUACCCUGGUAGUCCACGCCGUAAACGAUGAGUGCUAAGUGUUAGGGGGUUUCCGCCCCUUAGUGCUGCAGCUAACGCAUUAAGCACUCCGCCUGGGGAGUACGACCGCAAGGUUGAAACUCAAAGGAAUUGACGGGGACCCGCACAAGCGGUGGAGCAUGUGGUUUAAUUCGAAGCAACGCGAAGAACCUUACCAAAUCUUGACAUCCUUUGACAACUCUAGAGAUAGAGCUUUCCCCUUCGGGGGACAAAGUGACAGGUGGUGCAUGGUUGUCGUCAGCUCGUGUCGUGAGAUGUUGGGUUAAGUCCCGCAACGAGCGCAACCCUUAAGCUUAGUUGCCAUCAUUAAGUUGGGCACUCUAAGUUGACUGCCGGUGACAAACCGGAGGAAGGUGGGGAUGACGUCAAAUCAUCAUGCCCCUUAUGAUUUGGGCUACACACGUGCUACAAUGGACAAUACAAAGGGCAGCGAAACCGUGAGGUCAAGCAAAUCCCAUAAAGUUGUUCUCAGUUCGGAUUGUAGUCUGCAACUCGACUACAUGAAGCUGGAAUCGCUAGUAAUCGUAGAUCAGCAUGCUACGGUGAAUACGUUCCCGGGUCU